AAAGAGUGCGUAAUAGCUCACUGGUCGAGUGACUCUGCGCCGAAAAUGUAACGGGGCUAAACACGCCACCGAAGCUAUGGCUACGCAGCAAUGCGUGGGGUAGGGGAGCGUCGAAUACGCAUCGAAGGUAUACCGUAAGGAGUGCUGGAGUGUAUUCGAGUGAGAAUGCCGGUAUAAGUAACGAAAAGACAAGUGAGAAUCUUGUCCGCCGAAAGCCUAAGGGUUCCUGAGGAAGGCUCGUCCGCUCAGGGUAAGUCGGGACCUAAGGCGAGGCCGAAAGGCGUAGUCGAAGGACAACAGGUUGAUAUUCCUGUACCACCGCAAGCCGUUACGAGCGAUGGGGUGACGCAGCAGGGAAGUGACGCGGACUGAUGGAAUAGUCCGUCCAAGCAGUGAGGCCGGUUGGCAGGCAAAUCCGCCAAUCAUGAAGGCUGGGCUGUGAUGGGGAGGGAAAAUAAGAGUACCGAAGGUCAUGCACUCACACUGCCGAGAAAAGCCUCUAGCCAGGCGAAGGUGCCCGUACCGCAAACCGACACAGGUAGGCGAGCAGAGCAUGCUAAGGCGCGCGGAAGAACUCUCGUUAAGGAACUCGGCAAAAUGACCCCGUAACUUCGGGAGAAGGGGUGCCUCGGUAGGGUGAAUAGCCCGAGGGGGCCGCAGUGAAAAGGCCCAAGCGACUGUUUAGCAAAAACACAGGUCUGUGCGAAGCCGCAAGGCGAAGUAUACGGGCUGACGCCUGCCCGGUGCUGGAAGGUUAAGGGGAGCGGUUAGGGUCAAACCGAAGCUGUGAACUGAAGCCCCAGUAAACGGCGGCCGUAACUAUAACGGUCCUAAGGUAGCGAAAUUCCUUGUCAGGUAAAUUCUGACCCGCACGAAUGGCGUAACGACUUGGGCGCUGUCUCAACGAGAGAUCCGGUGAAAUUUUAAUACCUGUGAAGAUGCAGGUUACCCGCGACAAGACGGAAAGACCCCAUGGAGCUUUACUGCAGCUUGAUAUUGGACUUUGGUACGAUCUGUACAGGAUAGGUGGGAGCCUGGGAAGUGGGAGCGCAAGCUUCGAUGGAGGCGCCGUUGGGAUACCACCCUGAUCGUAUCGGAGUUCUAACCUGCUACCGUGAAACCGGUAGAGGGACCGUGUCAGGCGGGCAGUUUGACUGGGGCGGUCGCCUCCUAAAGUGUAACGGAGGCGCCCCAAGGUUCCCUCAGAAUGGUUGGAAAUCAUUCGAAGAGUGCAAAGGCAUAAGGGAGCUUGACUGCGAGACCAACAAGUCGAGCAGGGACGAAAGUCGGGCUUAGUGAUCCGGUGGUACCGCAUGGAAGGGCCAUCGCUCAACGGAUAAAAGCUACCCUGGGGAUAACAGGCUUAUCUCCCCCAAGAGUCCACAUCGACGGGGAGGUUUGGCACCUCGAUGUCGGCUCAUCGCAUCCUGGGGCUGAAGUAGGUCCCAAGGGUUGGGCUGUUCGCCCAUUAAAGCGGUACGCGAGCUGGGUUCAGAACGUCGUGAGACAGUUCGGUCCCUAUCUGUCGCGGGCGCAGGAAAUUUGAGAGGAGCUGUCCUUAGUACGAGAGGACCGGGAUGGACGUACCGCUGGUGUACCAGUUGUUCCGCCAGGAGCACCGCUGGGUAGCCAAGUACGGACGGGAUAAGCGCUGAAAGCAUCUAAGCGUGAAGCCCCCCUCAAGAUGAGAUUUCCCAAUCCGUAAGACCCCUGGUAGACGACCAGGUUGAUAGGUUCGGGGUGGAAGCGCAGCAAUGCGUGCAGCUGACGAAUACUAAUCGGUCGAGGGCUUAUCCUAA
rnacentral:rRNA from 1 species